GUCCGAAGGACUCCAAGUUACUCCAAACCUUUAUGGGUAAAAUUACACAAAAACUACUGGACAGAAGGAUCGAUGUGGUACAUCAUCAAAGAACCCAUUAUAUUUUGGUGCGCAUCUGGAUUAGGUGGCAGGAGACUGGCAGGAGGAAACAGCCCCUGGCUACCGAGAAAUGAACCGUGCAGCUCGACUGAUUGAAAGAUUUGUGUCUCUUCUACAAAGGUCACUUCCUCAUUACACAGUGACAAACAGAUGCCAUUUAACUAGGCUCCACUGUACGUUUAGCAGAUACACACACACACAUU